rnacentral:lncRNA from 1 species
CAUAAAUCUUAUGUAUGCUCUGCGGCUGUUCCAACUCUUAGCCAAGUUUUGCCAGAGUCAUUUCAUCUAGCACUCACGUAGUAAAAUACAUUUCUUUUAUGACCUCCUAGCCAGCUGUUCAAGCUAAAUCAUUGUACCUAUAGUCAUGACUUGACUAAUGCCUGUGCAUAUCUCAGCUACUUUCUUGUUAUUCUGUUUGCAGAAUGGUGCAAAAUUCUCCUGAUGAGAUGGCAUUCCUGGAAGACAGACCCUUCUGCUACACAUAACAAGUAGGGAGUGAUCUCUUCAUGGGUCAAAGCAAGCACGGAUCACAGAAUUAAGGAGGUUCUAGCUGGAAGGUGACUUAGUAUAAUGGGGCAGAAUGUAAUUUUUCUGGGAAGCAGAUGAGUAUCUAUGCCCUGUAAGGACAGUAUCUCCUAGCUGGGGUCCUGAGUUCUCCAUUGCAAGAUUCCAUGCAAGGUGAAGUCUUGAACACCAUCACUAGGAUUUUUGACCAUGAAUCUACUAUAAGACCAGAUCUCAUGCUUGCUGAAAGGCUCCCAAUUUAAAUCACUGGACCUUUUUACAUGUGUAAAAUAUGAGAUUGGUGACAGAGUGAUCAGCAUCUUACAGAAAUGAAUGCCCAGUGAGUAUAGAGAUUCAUUUUUCCUCUUUCCAUAUUAUAGAAUCAUGAUUACCAGACAGUUAUGAAGUCAUUAGUGGAGCAAUA